GACGGAGGGUGCAAGCGUUGUUCGGAAUUACUGGGCGUAAAGCGUACGUAGGCGGCGGGUUAAGUCGAAUGUUAAAGCCUGGGGCUCAACCCCAGAGAUGCACUCGAUACUGGCUUGCUAGAGGGUGAUAGAGGAAAGCGGAAUUCCCAGUGUAGCGGUGAAAUGCGUAGAUAUUGGGAGGAACAUCAGUAGCGAAGGCGGCUUUCUGGGUCACACCUGACGCUGAGGUACGAAAGCGUGGGGAGCAAACGGG
rnacentral:rRNA from 1 species